rnacentral:rRNA from 1 species
GAUGAACGCUGGCGGCGUGCCUAAUACAUGCAAGUCGAGCGAACAGACGAGGAGCUUGCUCCUCUGACGUUAGCGGCGGACGGGUGAGUAACACGUGGAUAACCUACCUAUAAGACUGGGAUAACUUCGGGAAACCGGAGCUAAUACCGGAUAAUAUAUUGAACCGCAUGGUUCAAUAGAGAAAGACGGUUUUGCUGUCACUUAUAGAUGGAUCCGCGCCGCAUUAGCUAGUUGGUAAGGUAACGGCUUACCAAGGCAACGAUGCGUAGCCGACCUGAGAGGGUGAUCGGCCACACUGGAACUGAGACACGGUCCAGACUCCUACGGGAGGCAGCAGUAGGGAAUCUUCCGCAAUGGGCGAAAGCCUGACGGAGCAACGCCGCGUGAGUGAUGAAGGUCUUCGGAUCGUAAAACUCUGUUAUUAGGGAAGAACAAAUGUGUAAGUAACUAUGCACGUCUUGACGGUACCUAAUCAGAGAGCCACGGCUAACUACGUG